rnacentral:lncRNA from 10 species
GACACAUGCAGUGCACAGGAUGAGCACUUGUUGGGCACUGGGAAAUUUAACUCCAAAUCCUUGAACAUCACUGGUGCCAUGCUUGUACAGCCUGCAGAACUUUACUCGCUGGAAGUGGUGGGAAUCAUAAAAAACAACCAGGACCUUGCAUCCUAGUAUAGAAGCCACAACUGUGGAAGCUUAACAGCCAGGCAAAUGCCCACAAACCACCACCCUCUGCAUUGGAUGCAUAUGUCCCUGACCUCGCAAGUGAAAAAGAGAGGAAGACGGCGACACCUCCAGGCUUCAGACUCAUUAAUCCUGUGAAUCGUGACCCACUCUUAAAACCAAGGAAGAGGGAAGUUUGGACACAGACACACACAGACAAGAGAAUACCAUGUGACAAAGGCAGAGAUUGGAAUGAUACAGCUGCAAGCCAGGGAUGCCAAGGAUUGCAGGUGAAGAGUCAAGGAAGGAUUCUACCCAGAGUUGCACGGCCUUAUUGACACCUUGAUUUGGGCUUCUAGACUCCAGAAUCAUGACAGAAUAAAUUUAUCUGUGUGGAUGUGUGUGUGUGUGUGUGUGUGUGUGUGUGUGUGUGUGUUUUCCUAAAAAAGAGACAAGGUCUCAUUCUAUCCCCCAGGAUGGAGUGCAGUGUCAUGAUCAUAGCUCACUGCAGCCUCGAUCUCCUGGACUCAAAGCAUCUUCCCACCCCAGCCUCCCAGGAAUCUGGGACUACAGGUGUGAACCACUGUGCCGGCUCUGUUGAUUUAAGCCACCGAGUUUGUGGAACUUUGUUAUGGCAGUUCUAGAAAAUGAAUAUAAUAAUUAAAAUGAAAGUUUUGCUAACUGCUACCUUUACCUUUACCAUGUGCAAUUUUAUUUUAUUCUUUUUUUAAGCUUCUUAUAACUCAGUUCACUGGUUUCAUAAUCUACUAAUGGGUUGUAAUCCAAAGUGUGAAUAAUAUACCAGAAAUACCCUUGAAAGUUCUUUCCAAACUUGAGAGUUUGUGAUUCUAUGGGACCUAAGUGGGGCACAGAUCAGAAGAAUCAAAACACAAAAAAG